GAUGAACGCUGGCGGCGUGCCUAAUACAUGCAAGUCGAGCGAACAGACGAGGAGCUUGCUCCUUUGGCGUUAGCGGCGGACGGGUGAGUAACACGUGGAUAACCUACCUAUAAGACUGGGAUAACUUCGGGAAACCGGAGCUAAUACCGGAUAACAUGUUGAACCGCAUGGUUCAACAGUGAAAGACGGUCUUGCUGUCACUUAUAGAUGGAUCCGCGCCGCAUUAGCUAGUUGGUAAGGUAACGGCUUGCCAAGGCAACGAUGCGUAGCCGACCUGAGAGGGUGAUCGGCCACACUGGAACUGAGACACGGUCCAGACUCCUACGGGAGGCAGCAGUAGGGAAUCUUCCGCAAUGGGCGAAAGCCUGACGGAGCAACGCCGCGUGAGUGAAGAAGGUCUUCGGAUCGUAAAACUCUGUUAUUAGGGAAGAACAAAUGUGUAAGUAACUAUGCACGUCUUGACGGUACCUAAUCAGAAAGCCACGGCUAACUACGUGCCAGCAGCCGCGGUAAUACGUAGGUGGCAAGCGUUAUCCGGAAUUAUUGGGCGUAAAGCGCGCGUAGGCGGUUUUUUAAGUCUGAUGUGAAAGCCCACGGCUCAACCGUGGAGGGUCAUUGGAAACUGGAAAACUUGAGUGCAGAAGAGGAAAGUGGAAUUCCAUGUGUAGCGGUGAAAUGCGCAGAGAUAUGGAGGAACACCAGUGGCGAAGGCGACUUUCUGGUCUGUAACUGACGCUGAUGUGCGAAAGCGUGGGGAUCAAACAGGAUUAGAUACCCUGGUAGUCCACGCCGUAAACGAUGAGUGCUAAGUGUUAGGGGGUUUCCGCCCCUUAGUGCUGCAGCUAACGCAUUAAGCACUCCGCCUGGGGAGUACGACCGCAAGGUUGAAACUCAAAGGAAUUGACGGGGACCCGCACAAGCGGUGGAGCAUGUGGUUUAAUUCGAAGCAACGCGAAGAACCUUACCAAAUCUUGACAUCCUCUGACCCCUCUAGAGAUAGAGUUUUCCCCUUCGGGGGACAGAGUGACAGGUGGUGCAUGGUUGUCGUCAGCUCGUGUCGUGAGAUGUUGGGUUAAGUCCCGCAACGAGCGCAACCCUUAAGCUUAGUUGCCAUCAUUAAGUUGGGCACUCUAAGUUGACUGCCGGUGACAAACCGGAGGAAGGUGGGGAUGACGUCAAAUCAUCAUGCCCCUUAUGAUUUGGGCUACACACGUGCUACAAUGGACAAUACAAAGGGUAGCGAAACCGCGAGGUCAAGCAAAUCCCAUAAAGUUGUUCUCAGUUCGGAUUGUAGUCUGCAACUCGACUACAUGAAGCUGGAAUCGCUAGUAAUCGUGGAUCAGCAUGCUACGGUGAAUACGUUCCCGGGUCU
rnacentral:rRNA from 1 species